CCUACGGGUGGCAGCAGUGAGGAAUAUUGGUCAAUGGGCGCGAGCCUGAACCAGCCAAGUAGCGUGAAGGAUGACUGCCCUACGGGUUGUAAACUUCGAUUAUAAAGGAAUAAAGUGAGGCACGUGUGCCUUUUUGGAUGUACUUUAUGAAUAAGGAGCGGCUAACUCCGGGCCAGCAGCCGCGGUAAGACGGAGGAUCCGAGCGUUAUCCGGAUGUAUUGGGUUUAAAGGGAGCGUAGAUGGGUUGUUAAGUCCGUUGUGCAAGUUUGCGGCUCAACCGUAAAAUUGCAAUUGAUACUGGCAGUCUUGCGUACAGUUGCGGUAGGCGGAAUUCGUGGUGUCGCGG
rnacentral:rRNA from 1 species